CUUUGCUGCUUGCUCUCGCUUCUGCAUGAAAUCUUUUGCUGAUAUUCGUUGUUUUUUUUCUGUUAGAAAUUACGAACAUCGACUGGAUACCAAUAAAUCAUUGGGAUGGUAAUAUAUUCAGAUAAAAUAGGCUUUUGGCAUAUUUUCAACACUUUUUUGACCUCCUCGGUACUACGCAGGUGUGGCUUACCAACAGCACAAGCCUGUACGGCAGUGACUGGAGACGUACCUAGCUUCAGCUAAUUACCAGCAAGAUGCUGCACUUCUCCACGGACGACUAAGAAAAACCUCUACAGAAAAUUGCAGUGCUGGAAACCAAAAUCCACCGGUUACAAGUGAUUGGGGAAAUUAAUAGACAACGAGGGAACGACAGUACUUUAACAUGUACUCAAAACAGUGGUAUCAUCCAGAGGGCCUUUUCAGUCCCUGUUCUUAGUAGGACACAGCUAUGGACAGCUGCAAAAGGGAGAGAUAGCACAAAACCUCCGCAACAACCAGGUGUACAGCAGAACCAAUCUCUCUGAUGUUAUAACAGCGCCGCUAGAGCUUGCAACAACAACAACUACAAGUUUUGUUUGCUUGAGCGGCAGAGACACAGAGUCUGCCAGCUAACUUUAACCAAAGCCCUUUAAAGAGAGAGUCGCGUCAUCUCCGUUCACUCCAAUGGACCAGUUUUUCACAGCAAUGGCGGAUCAUGGAGCGUGUGAAUAGUUCCCGGAAGUUAGCAUCAAAUGCUAGGAUCAAGUGCUAGCAUCGCAGCAGAACUGCAAUAGAAAAUGCUUUUGGGAAGCCCACCUAGGACUUCCGGAAACUACCUGCGGUCUCCAUGAACCAUGUGACGAUCAAGCAUUUUGGACCCCUCUUUAAAUGGCUCUGACUUUAACAAGCAACAAACGCAACUAAGUAGCUUAGCACUAAGUAGCUAACUCUGAGGAGAACAGACAAGUGGCACAGCAAAAGACUGCAAUAGGAAACCACAUUUCUUCACUGCUUGGCUAAUCCACAACGGAACUGCUGGCUACAAGUAGCACGUCAAAUCAACUUCUUUUCCUCUACGGAGUGGCAACGUAACUUAAUUGUGCAUAGCAUAGCUUAACACUGUACUUGCCUAAGCACAGGACUAUUUGGCUUUGUUCAUGUACAUGUAUUGAUUUAAUUUGUUGUAAUUGUAUUGUUCAAAUUUUCUCUUCUUUAAAGCAACAUUAUAAGA